rnacentral:lncRNA from 1 species
GUACUUUAGAUAUGUUGGGUUUAUUUUUAAUUUUUCAAAAUGUGGCUAAUAGAAAAUUUAAAGUUAUAUAUGUAGCUUACAUAAUAUUUCUAUUUGCUGUAGGAUUCAGUGGCUUACCCAGCACUUCAGAAGACAUUUGAAAAUCAGUCAUGUUCCUCAACCAAGUGAUGCCUUUUAGCGGUGCAAAUUCUGUGCUUAGGAAACUUGCUGCUUGCCCUAAUCUUUUCUUUUUUUGUUUUAAAAUGUGUCAUGUGGCAUUUAAUUGUCCUCAUCUUAUCAAGGGUUCAGUGCACCCUAAUGAGACUUGAAUGCAUCACAAAAUGAUGGAGGAAGGUAGCCUGGGCCCAACUGAACUCACUGUGUAUUCAGAAAAUAACCCACAGUUGGGAAAUUCACAGUGCCAUUGCUUUGAAUCAAAUCCUUACUUCAUACCAGGAUGUACCAUGAUUCUUGGCAACAUGACUGGGUAUUGAUGUCUUGUCUAGCCAAUGAAAUCCACAUAGCAAAGAUGUUAUGAAGACAUGGAAACAUGAAUAUGAAAUAAAAUCAGUAUAGCUAUUUGGAUGAUUAGCUAUCGACACAAGACAGUCCCUGGUAAUUGCCUUUAAUAGUAAGGUAGCACUAGGCCAUGAAAGGUGCUUCAGUGUACCUGCCUCAUUUGUGGCUCCCUUUUGGCCAUGUGACCCUAACUCCCCUGGUCACAAGUGGCUGAACCAGCAAUCAAUACCUGACCUGAAGGCAACCCUCUAUAGGCUGGCAAGUGGCCUACAAAGUUGCUCAGUGCUAGAGAACUGAGCCCAACAGAAGUACAUUCUAAUGUUUAGUGAUUGGCCAAUCGUAUUCUUUGUGAUGGUGCUGAUGGGAAGGUAGUGAUGUGCAUCAGACAUGCAGAGUUAGUAGCAGCUGGAGCAGACACAGAAGCCUCCCUAACAAUGGGCAAUGGAGAAAGGAACAACAGACAGUUCUGAAAGAAUACCAAGUGCUCCUAAGCCAAAAGCUAUAGUUAGGCUGCUGGAGGUACUGCCAGUCCUAAAUGAUGGCAAUGAUGGUCCAUUUUUCUGUGAAACUUGACUGUAUACCUGUUAAGAUUUUUUUGUGUUCUUUUUAAGGCUCCAUGAAUGAAUCUUUCCAAUAAACAAG